GGCCUUACUGGAUCCUUCACAGAAGAAACUCUACAGAGAUGAAAAAUAUGGGAAGAUCAUGAUAUUGAAGAUCAGUA